rnacentral:rRNA from 1 species
UACGGGGGGUGCAAGCGUUAUCCGGAUUCACUGGGUUUAAAGGGUGCGUAGGUGGGCAGGUAAGUCAGUGGUGAAAUCUCCGGGCUUAACCCGGAACUGCCGUUGAUACUAUCUGUCUUGAAUAUCGUGGAGGUGAGCGGAAUAUGUCAUGUAGCGGUGAAAUGCUUAGAUAUGACAUAGAACAUCAAUUGCGAAGGCAGCUCGCUACACGGUUAUUGACACUGAGGCACGAAAGCGUGGGGAUCAAACAGG